AACGAACGCUGGCGGCAGGCUUAACACAUGCAAGUCGAACGAGAUCUUCGGAUCUAGUGGCAGACGGGUGAGGAACACGUGGGAACAUCCCUUUCAGUUCGGAAUAACGUUGGGAAACUAACGCUAAUACCGGAUACGUCCUUCGGGAGAAAGAUUUAUCGCUGAAAGAUUGGCCCGCGUCUGAUUAGCUAGUUGGUGAGGUAACGGCUCACCAAGGCUACGAUCAGUAGCUGAUCUGAGAGGAUGAUCAGCCACAUUGGGACUGAGACACGGCCCAAACUCCUACGGGAGGCAGCAGUGGGGAAUAUUGGACAAUGGGCGCAAGCCUGAUCCAGCCAUGCCGCGUGAGUGAUGACGGCCUUCGGGUUGUAAAGCUCUUUUGUCCGGGAAGAUAAUGACUGUACCGGAAGAAUAAGCCCCGGCAAACUUCGUGCCAGCAGCCGCAGUAAAAC
rnacentral:rRNA from 1 species